rnacentral:rRNA from 1 species
UGAGGGUUGAUAGGUUAAGAGCUAGCGUAUUGGACGUUACCCACAGAAAAAGCACCGGCUAACUCCGUGCCAGCAGCCGCGGUAAUACGGGGGGUGCAAGCGUUAAUCGGAAUAACUGGGCGUAAAGGGUGCGUAGGUGGUUUAAUAAGUUAUGUGUAAAAUUCCUGGGCUCAACCUAGGGAGGUCAGAUAAGACUGUUAGACUAGAGUAUAGGAGAGGGUAGUGGAAUUUCCGGUGUAGCGGUGAAAUGCGUAGAGAUCGGAAGGAACACCAGUGGCGAAGGCGACUACCUGGCCAGAUACUGACACUGAGGCACGAAAGCGUGGGGAGCAAACAGGAUUAGAUACCCUGGUAGUCCACGCCGUAAACGAUGUCAACUAGGUGUUGGUCAUAUAGAAGUGAUUAGUGCCGAAGCAAACGCGAUAAGUUGACC